AAUACAGAGGUCUCAAGCGUUGUUCGGAUUCAUUGGGCGUAAAGGGUGCGUAGGUGGCAUGGCAAGUUUGAUGUGAAAGCUCAGGGCUUAACCCUGAAAUGGCAUUGAAUACUGCUGUGCUGGAGGUUUGGAGGGGGGACUGGAAUUCUCGGUGUAGCAGUGAAAUGCGUAGAUAUCGAGAGGAACACCAGUGGCGAAGGCGAGUCCCUGGACAACACCUGACACUGAGGCACGAAAGCUAGGGGAGCGAACAGGA
rnacentral:rRNA from 1 species